rnacentral:rRNA from 1 species
GAUGAACGCAGGCGGCGUGCUUAACACAUGCAAGUCGAACGAAGAUACAUAAAAUGAGAGCUUCGGCAGGAUUUUUAUUUAUGUUAGUGGCGGACGGGUGAGUAACGUGUGGGCAACUUGUCCUAUACUGGGGAAUAAUCGAUGGCAACGGUGAUUAAUACGGCAUGGCAUUACGGGAGGGCAUCGUUCUGUAAGAAAGUGCGAAAUUAGGUAUCGGAUGGGCCCGCAUCUGAUUAGCUAGUUGGUGAGAUAACAGCCCACCAAGGCGACGAUCAGUAGCCGACCUGAGAGGGUGAUCGGCCACAUUGGGACUGAGACACGGCCCAAACUCCUACGGGAGGCAGCAGUGGUGAAUAUUGCACAAUGGGGGAAACACUGAUGCAGCAGCGCCGCGUGAAGGAUGAAGGUUUUCGGAUCGUAAACUUCUAUCAAUAGGGACGAAGAAAGUGACGGUACCUGAAUAAGAAGCCCCGGCUAACUACGUGCCAGCCGCCGCGGUAAGAC